ensembl:misc_RNA Y_RNA Y RNA
ACUUGGUCAUAUGGAAGUGGGUUAUCAGAACUUAUUAACAUUAGUGUCACUAAAGUUGGUAUACAGCCCCCUCGCUGCUAAAUUUGACUGGCUUUUU